GGUGGGAUUACAGGCAUGAACCACUGUGCCCAGUCUGAUUUGGCUUUUGAACACAAUUCUACUGGACCCCUUGAGAGGAGCACUUUUCACAGUGCCAUGCUGAAUGAGAAGUAAUCCUUAAGGGGCUUUCUUUCGACCAUGGACAAGCCACUGCCCUUCUUUUCCUCUUCCUUGCCUUCAAUGAAGUUCUUCCUUUGUACUAGAACCCCAGUGUGAUCAGGGCCUUUUUUCCUACCCACAGCCAGGCUCUCAGGGAGAAUGAUCCUAUUUCCCCCAAGCAUAAGUCCUGGUGAGUUUAGGUCAGCUGUUACUAUAAUGAUCACAUUCUCUCUGGGGAACAGGCUCAUGGUAGUUCUGGGGGAGUCGGGAGAGAGGAGAAGUCUUCAGGCCAAAAAAUAAACACAGCUGGUAGUGACCCAACAAAAUGAUGGCGAGAAUCUGGGUCCUUGAAGUGGCUGUGGAUUUGUUUAAUACAACCAUCCUGCGACCCACUACCUCACCUAUUUUUAAGUCACAUAAUAGGAAAAAAAAAAUCUGUACAUGUUCAGUACAGUCACAACCAUGCAUUUUCUUUCCCAAAUAGUUUUGAUCUUUGGUUGGUUGAAUCUGUGGAUGCAGAACCCAUGAAUAUGGAGGGCUAACUGUAUUUACAGCCAAAAGCAUCUCAAUGGAUUUAUCAUCACAUCAAUCAAUCAAGAGGACUGAUUAAUGUAGUCAAAUCUUUGAGGGAUUUGUGAACACUAGAACCGCUGUUUCAGAUCUGAGAUAGGCGACCUGUGAGUGAAUUAUGGCAUUUUAGGCUUGGAAGAAUGAGAGGUCAUCAAGCCUAGUGUUUACUAAAUCUUUUUAUUUAAAAUUUUUUGUAGAAACAGAGUCUCAUUGUGUUGACCAGGCUGGUAUUGAACUCCUGGGCUCAAGUGAUCCUCCUGCCUCUGCCUCCAAUGGAAAUCUACACUGACCAUUCCAGUUACCUAUUUCUGUGGAACAAAUCACCUCCAAAGAAAAGUGUCUGGUAUACUGUAUGCUAAUCCAACAGGACUGUGGUCUUAUAAGAAGAGGAAGACUCUCUCUCUACCAUGAGAACACAGGAUGAGAAGGCUGCCAUCUGCAAGCCAGAAGGAGAGCCCUCACUGGAAGUCAGCCAUGCUGGCACCCCGAUCUCAGACUUCCAGCCUUCAGAGCUGCUGGGCCGUAAUCCAAGGACCAGUGUCUUCAUAAGAGGGAAAUUUGGACACAGGUGACACAGAAAGGAGAAUGCCACAGGAUGAAGGAGGCAGAGAUGGAAUGAUGCAUCUACAAGCUGGGGCUCCUGGCAACCACGAGAAGCUAGGAGAGAAGCAGGUAACAGAUAUUCCCCCAGUCUCCAGGAGAAACCAACCCUGCCAAUACCUUGACUUCCGACUUCCUGACUACAGACCAUAAGAGAAUACGUUUCUCCUGUUUGAAGCCACCUAGUUUUUGGUCAUCCCCUAUGGCAGCCCUGGGAAACUAAAUACAGCUCAUUUCACACUCUGUUUUAAAAAUAUUUGACAUGGUUGCCAACAACUAAAAUUUGGAAGAUUUCAUAUAAAAAUAGAGAUUUCGCUUAAAAGCCUCCAAAAUUAUGAGCCCUCAUGUUAUUGUGGCCCCUGCCUAGCCCUGCUACUUGCUUUCUCUGCAUGGAGCAGAAUUGCCAUGGUCCCCAUGCCUGCAGGAAGGUGGGGGACAGCUACCUUUUGUUUUCUUUUUAUAUCUUAAAGGUAAACAUAUCCCAACACCAUUUAUUAAGCAAUCCAACAAAUCUGUACAGAUAUGCAUUUUGUCUUCUGCUAUGUGCUCAUGUAGCACUUGAGUCUAUUUUGGGUCUUUCUAUUCUGAUGCUCUAAUCUGUCUAAAGAGUCUCUCAUCACACUGCACAGUUGGACUUAGGACCGUUUAAAAAUAUGAUGUUAAGCCGGGCGCGGUGGCUCAAGCCUGUAAUCCCAGCACUUUGGGAGGCCGAGGCGGGUGGAUCACGAGGUCAAGAGAUCGAGACCAUCCUGGUCAACAUGGUGAAACCCCGUCUCUA